rnacentral:lncRNA from 1 species
UGUGUCACCUUCUAUGGCACCCGGGUGGCACUUGGGUGGCACCUGUGUCACCUCCUGUGGCACCUGUGUCACCUGGGUGGCACCUGUGGCAUCCCCUGUGUCACCUGUGUCGUGUGUGGCACCUCCUGUGGCAUGUGGGUGGCACCUGUGGCACCUCCUGUGUGACGUGUGUCACCUCCUGUGACACCUGGAUCACCUGAGUGGCACUUGGGUGGCACCUGUGUCACCUCCUGUGGCACCUGAGUGGCACAUGGGUGGCACCUGUGCUGUGUGUGUCACCUCCCUGUCCUUCCAGUGCCACCCCCAAUGUCCCCCCAGUGUCCCCUCAGUGUCCCUGUCCCUGCAGUGUCCCUGUCCUUGUCCCCGCAGUGUCCCCAAUGUCCCCUCAGUGUCACUGUCACUGUCCCCAGUGUCCCCUCAGUGUCCCCAAUGUCCCUGUCAUUGUCCCCGCAGUGUCCCCGACUGCCACCUCGUCACCGUGGAUGUCACCGCUGUCCCUGUCCCUGUCCCCUCAGUGUCCCCAAUGUCCCCUCAAUGUCCCCAAUGUCCCCUCCGUGUCCCUGUCAUUGUCCCCACAGUGUCCCCGACUGCCACCUCGUCACUGUGGAUGUCCCCGCAGUGUCCCCAAUGUCCCCUCAGUGUCACUGUCACUGUCCCCAAUGUCCCCAAUGUCCCCUCAAUGUCCCUGUCCCUGUCCCCGCAGUGUCCCCAAUGUCCCUGUCCCUGUCCCCACAGUGUCCCCAAUGUCCCUGUCCCUGCAGUGUCCCCAAUGUCCCCUCAGUGUCCCCAAUGUCCCUGUCAUUGUCCCCGCAGUGUCCCCGACUGCCACCUCGUCACCGUGGAUGUCACCGCUGUCCCCGAGGGUGGCCGCGCCCUCACCGUCACCAGCACCCGCCGCAACCCCGCCGAGCCCGGCCACGUCACGGGCAGCGCCACCCGCCACAGCUUCUGGAGCAGCGUGCUGGGUGUGGCCCUGUCCCCUGUGCCACCC